rnacentral:rRNA from 1 species
ACGCUGGCGGCACGCCUUAUACAUGCAAGUCGAACGAAGUAGCAAUACUUAGUGGCAGACGGGUGAGUAACAUGUAGGUAUCUUCCCUUUGGUGAGGAAUAACACGAGGAAACUUGUGCUAAUACCUCAUAAGUCUUUACGGAGAAAGCUUUAUGCGCCGAAGGAUGAGCCUGCACUUGAUUAGUUUGUUGGUGGGGUAAUGGCCUACCAAGACUUUGAUCUAUAGCUGAUCUGAGAGGAUGAUCAGCCACAUUGGGACUGAGACACGGCCCAAACUCCUACGGGAGGCAGCAGUAGGGAAUAUUGCACAAUGGAGGAAACUCUGAUGCAGCGAUGCCGCGUGAGUGAAGAAGGCCUUUGGGUUGUAAAGCUCUUUCGUCGGGGAAGAAAAUGACUGUACCCGAAUAAGAAGGUCCGGCUAACUUCGUGCCAGCAGCCGCGGUAAUACGAAGGGACCUAGCGUAGUUCGGAUUUACUGGGCUUAAAGAGUUCGUAGGUGGUUAAAAAAGUUGGUGGUGAAAUCCCAGAGCUUAACUCUGGAACUGCCAUCAAAACUUUUUAGCUAGAGUAUGAUAGAGGAAAGCAGAAUUUCUAGUGUAGAGGUGAAAUUCGUAGAUAUUAGAAAGAAUACCAAUUGCGAAGGCAGCUUUCUGGAUCAUUACUGACGCUGAGGAACGAAAGCAUGGGUAGCGAAGAGGAUUAGAUACCCUCGUAGUCCAUGCCGUAAACGAUGUGUGUUAGACGUUGGAAAUUUAUUUUCAGUGUCGCAGCGAAAGCAUUAAACACACCGCCUGGGGAGUACGACC